UACGUAGGUGGCAAGCGUUGUCCGGAUUUACUGGGCGUAAAGAGCGCGCAGGCGGUCGAUCAAGUCGCGUGUGAAAGCCCCCGGCUCAACUGGGGAGGGUCACGCGAUACUGAUCGACUCGAAGGCAGGAGAGGGUAGUGGAAUUCCCGGUGUAGUGGUGAAAUUCGUAGAUAUUCGCAAGAACACCAGUGGCGAAGGCGGCUCACUGGCCCGAUACUGACGCUGAGGCACGAAAGCGUGGGGAGCAAACAGG
rnacentral:rRNA from 1 species